UCAGUCGACUCCUACGGGGAGGCAGCAGUCGGGGAAUAUUGCACAAUGGGGGAAACCCUGAUGCAGCCAUGCCGCGUGUGUGAAGAAGGCCUUCGGGUUGUAAAGCACUUUCAGUAGGGAGGAAGGUAGUGUAGUUAACACCUGCACUAUUUGACGUUACCUACAGAAGAAGCACCGGCUAACUCCGUGCCAGCAGCCGCGGUAAUACGGAGGGUGCGAGCGUUAAUCGGAAUUACUGGGCGUAAAGCGCAUGCAGGCGGCCUGUUAAGUCAGAUGUGAAAGCCCGGGGCUUAACCUCGGAAUUGCAUUUGAAACUGGCAGGCUAGAGUCUUGUAGAGGGGGGGUAGGAAUUUCAGGUGUAGCGGUGAAAUGCGUAGAGAUCUGAAGGAAUACCAGUGGCGAAGGCGGCCCCCUGGACAAAGACUGACGCUCAGAUGCGAAAGCGUGGGGAGCAAACAGGAUUAGAUACCCCUGGUAG
rnacentral:rRNA from 1 species